CCCCUUUUAAAAGCACUCAUUGGGUCUUUUGCUAAUGACCCAUUGAGCUGUCAAGAAAAGGCUAAGUAAAAACACCACUUUUGGGUGAAGUGGCAGCAUGUUGUGUUAUUUCACUUCAAUCAGUGGUGUGACAAGG